UUUCCCAGUUUUAUGUUUGUUUGGUUUUAUUUUUUUUUUUGUUUUUUUUUUAGGAUUUGCAUUUAAAAAAAUGAGCCUACUUCAAACAUUUUAAGCAGCUUGAACAAAACCUGUUAAUAUUUAUUAUAGACCACUGUAACUGUCUAUUAUCUAAAAAAAAACAAAUUUAUUAUGAAAAUAAAAGUGUGUACACCAGUUAAAUUGGACGAUAAAGAAAUUGCUAACAAUAGUUUAAUAGUGCAUGUUUUAAGUUUAUAGGUGUUUGGAUGCAGAAAUGGACAAAUCAAAUGUAAAAUAACAUGUCAUCGAUUUAGUUAAAUAUAGAUUAAUUCUUGUUAGAGCAAAAUAAUAAUAAUAAUAAUAAUAAUAAUAAUAAUAAUAAUAAUAAUAAU
ensembl:lncRNA